GUUAUUCACCUCUGCAGCACUUAUACUAAAAUGAGAAUGAUACAGAGUAGAUUAGCAUGGCCCUUCACCAGCUUGACAUGGAAAUUCAUGAUGUGCUCCAUAGGAAG